GUAUGAAUGGCCACACGAGGGCUUUACUGUCUCUUACUUCCAAUCCGUGAAAUUGACCUUCCCGUGAAGAGGCGGGAAUACAACAAUAAGACGAGAAGACCCUAUGGAGCUUUAAUUAACCGACCCAAAGAGACCCAGAUAAUCAACCGACAGGAACAACAAACCUCUACCAUGGGCCGACAAUUUAGGUUGGGGUGACCUCGGAGAACAAAACAACCUCCGAGUGAUUUAAAUCAAGACUAACCAGUCGAAAGUAUUACAUCACUUAUUGAUCCAAAAGUUUGAUCAACGGAACAAGUUACCCUAGGGAUAACAGCGCAAUCCUAUUUUAGAGUCCAUAUCGACAAUAGGGUUUACGACCUCCAUGUUGGA
rnacentral:rRNA from 1 species